rnacentral:hammerhead_ribozyme from 1 species
AUCUAGCUGACGUGUCCCAAAUAAGAUGAAACGAACAUCCAAGAU